UACGUAGGGGGCGAGCGUUGUCCGGAUUUAUUGGGCGUAAAAGGCUUGUAGGUGGCCAUGCGAAGUCGGAUGUGAAAUCUCCCGGCUCAACUGGGAGGGGUCAUUCGAUACUGGCAGGCUCGAGGCCGGUAGGGGGGUAGCGGAAUUCCCGGGUGUAGUGGUGGAAUGCGUAGAUAUCGGGAGGAACACCAGUGGCGAAGGCGGCUACCUGAACCGGU
rnacentral:rRNA from 1 species